AGGGACUGAGGAGGUCACCCGGGCUGUGGGAAGAGGGGCACGGGGUCAGAAUCGAAGGAAGCUGGAAGCUGAGGAUUUUGGGGUGGGAUACCUGGGGGUAAGGAGGAUGGAGCCGCUGAGAAGGACGGAAAGGGGAUACACUGGCGUUAUGAAAUCCCCUCUAGGGUGGACGGAGACAGAUAACUAAUAGACUAAACCCUGCCUGGGAAAAGGAUUCCUUACUACCUCCUCACACAGUACUAGCUUGCCUGCAAAACCUGGCUUGGGUGGGAAGUAUUUCUAGGUAGCAGAAGUCUUUGAACCCAGGGUUUAAAAAAAGUCUUUUUUGUUGUUAAAAUGCUAGUAAAAUCUCAAGGGCAAUGAUUUCCUUAAUGCAUACCCAAAAACAAAGCUCUGGUUAAAUGCAGAGUGGUUGGUUGAUCACCGUGAAAGAGGAACUUAAUUUGUGAAUUAUCUCUGAGAAAGGGCAGUCUAUCAUUUUAAAUGCAAAUGAUGCCCCCUAAAAAAGCUGCCCUGUUUUAAAACUACUAAUCAAGUUUGAUUUGAUUUAGGAAUAUUUUAUCAAUCAGCUGAAGAUAGAAGGAACACCUCCCACGCCAUGUAACAAAUGAAAUCCCAAGUAACAGUCGCUAUGAGGGUUACACACAAGGCGGUGUGAUAUUUGCAACUAGUCGAAUACUCGUGGUUGAUUUCUUGACUGAUAGAAUUCCUUCAGAUUUAAUUACUGUGAUAGUGCUUCAAAACACUACACUGUAUUUGCUGUUUAUUUACUCCUCUCACUUGUGAGAUAAUAAGCUUCGUAAGUACAAGGAACAACUUACUCAUCCUGGACGAAGUAACUGGUCCAUAGCAGGUACUACACACAUAUCUGUUGGAUGAAUGAUUCAUGGCUAUCCUGGGAUCUGGUGAACCUCUGGAGGGCAGAGAGAAAAUGAAAUUCUUAAUCGUACUUCCCACCGUAUCUAUCUUCUUGCCCGAGACUUAGAUGACCCUGAAGAAAUAGUUAAUAAGCAAAUGUAUGAAUGAAUGCUUUAUAUGGUUCAUAAUAAACUGAUGAAGGAAAAGUUUCAUUAUACUUUCAUAACAUCACUAAUUGUUACAAGCUGUGGCACAAGCAUGUGUGGUCAGACUUACCUGGCUCUGACUGGUAAUACUACUGCAGACAGACAAGUUACCUAAUUGCGUGAGCCUCCGUUUUUCUCAUUUCUUAAAUUGAGAGAUUAAGGUGCUCCUAGAGUUAUCAUGAGGACUAAGACAGAUAAAAUAAAUCAGUUGCUUAGAAUGGUGCCUGGUACAUAAUAUACAAUUCAUAAAUAAUAUCAAAAAAAGUAUUGUCUUUUUGUAACUAGAAAUCUUAAUAUGUGGUAAAUUCUUUUACUGUUUGCUGCUUUCUUAUAAGCUGUUUUUUAAUUGGUAUAAUGAAAACAAAGUGUUGAAACUACCACUAGAUGUCAGUAUUACUCAGAUAUACAGAAACAGUUCAACCUAAUAAGGCGGAGAGCAAUUUGAAUCAAAGCAAUGUCCAUAGCUUAUGGGUAGUUCCUGAUUAAAAAUGCCAGAUUCCAUGCCCAUUUCUGAUUAGUUCCAACCAGUGAUGAAGCUGGAGCUGCCACUGCUGCUCAGCUGAAUAGAAUGCAAAUGAAUGCCAAAAACGAAUUCCUUCAAAUUCUCUACCACCUGGGAUCAUGUCCCAGGAGCUCAUUUGUGCUUUCACCCCAGCUUUUACAGACCAAAGAGCAGUCCCCAAAUCACGGAUCAUUUGGGAAGUGCUGUAUGUCCCCAGCCCUAACUUGCCCUUGUUACUACCCAUUAUCACCACCCCCAGUCCACCCUAGGGGCACCUGUCAACCACAUCUCCUAAACAAUGAGAGAACUGUGUAUCUACCCAGAUUGUACUUUGAAAAGAAUGGGGACAGGAGGAUGCUUUCCCUCCUAAAACAGCUCCUUACAGCUCCAAGUAGAACUCAGAACACACUUUCUAUAGGACACUUAAAAAAAGUAACUCAUGUUAGAUUUGUCCCCACCAUGCCAUAAUUCGGCUUUGCGUUUAUUCAACAAACAUGUAGUUCACCACGUGUCCCAUGUUUGGCAGGAAUGUGGUAGGUGCUGAAGACAAAGAUAAAUUGCACAGUGUGGUUGAACUCUUUUAGGGCUGCCCCUGAGUUUGAGCUUAUCUUCACGGUGAACUAAAUGUGUGACCCUGGGCAAGUUUCUUAAUUUCCAUGUGACUCAGUUUACUCAUCUGUCAAUUGACAACAGUAAUAGUACCUCCCUUCUAAGGUGGUUGUGAUGGUGAGAUGAGAUAAUGCAUGUCAGAUUCUUAGCAUCAUGCAUGGCACAUUGCAAACAUUUGUGUGAUUUCUGCUUGUUAGAAUGUUCUUGUCCCCAAGCAGUUUAGUGGAGCAGAUAGAUGGCAAGAAGUAAUUACAAUAUGAAAUAGGAGCUGUGAUCGGUGCAUAAAAAUUUAAGUAUGCUUUUGUGGGACUCUUGGCUUGCCUCCAGAAAUAUAACCUGCUUGUGGUGUUUUCAUUUUUAUAUUUUAAAGGGCAGGUCCUGGCUUGUCAGUUGCACAUGAUUUGGAACCUCUGGUUUCCCAUUACUUGCUGGAUGACCUUGAUCAAGUUGUUUGAUCAAGUUGUCUUUCCGUGGUCACGUAAUAAUACCUACCCUAUAGAAUCAUUGUAAGGGUUAAAUAAAAUAAAAAACUGUAAAAGUACUCAAACCCAGUGCCUGGGAUAUAAUAUUCUCUUCUUCCUCCUUCUGGGUUCUAAAAGAAUGACAACCUUUUAGAGCACAUUUCCUUAAAUUAAGGGUCUCCUUUUCUUUAAAAGUCCAUUUUUAUUAUUUUUAACUUCACGUAAUAUUUCAAUGCAGGCCAGCAAAUGUGGCCCAGUACAAUGCUUGGAAAAGCCCACCUACUGGGUAGAAAAUCUUUUCUGAGUAGGAAAUUAGCUAUAUAAAUGGGUAACUCAAAAUCCUUUAUCUACAAAUUCCUAAGUAACACUCUUAAUUUUUACUGUAUUUGGAAACCAGCUUGUUUAGAUAGAAUAAAUUUUAACUCCAUCCUCUCAAUCCAAACUUUAAACACCAAAAUAUAGAAUCUGCAUUGAGUGUAUUGAACUACUAGAAACAAUCAUAAAUUACUAUUAGUGUCAUUUUCCAAACCCUAGGAAUGAUGAGAACUGGGACAAAAACACGUGAGCACAUUUAUACACACAUGUAAAAGGUAACUGGCUUGAUUUAAGUCCAGAAGACAGAAUCGUCAUAAAUAAUUGCACUUCUGAUCUGGAAAUGAUUUUUAUGCACUUGUAUAUCAUCACAUGUCUCUCCCUAAUUUAUCACUAAUCACACUGCACCAAAAUGGCACAUAUAUAUACAUUAUAUAGACAUUUUAUCGAUAGAUGAUAGGUAGAUCCAUCAUCUGGUCGAGGGCUCUCAUUUUAUAAAUAAGGAAACGUAUAACUGUGCUUGUUCUUGUGAUUCAAAGGUGUCACUGUCAUACCAUCUCCAAAAAAAACCAGAUGUAUUAAAUAUAAUGUAGUCAUUAAAGGUUAGUACUUUCAGUAGACUAAUUUAUCUCUCGACCGAAUAUACUCUGCUUCUGAUAACUGAAUUAUUCUAGUAGGCAACACAGAUGUUGCCCGGACUUCUGAAAUGCAGCUGUUUUAUGUAGCCCACAGCUGAUUCAGAUAUAAAAGGAAAAUCAGUGACUCACUUUGCUUUCAGAAACUCUCUUCCACCAUGCCAGACACUCCCCACUCCAGGGCCUUUGUUCUUUGUUGCUUUCUCAGCCUGGAGCCCUCUUGGCCCGCAGCUCACUUCCUUGACUUCACCUAAGCCUCUACUCAGAUGUGAGGCCCCCCUGUCUAAAGUUGCAGCCCACCAUCAUACCUCACACAUACUCCCUCUUCUCCUCUGGUUAAUUUUUCUACUUAGCACUCAUCACCUUGUAUGCUCUCAAAUAUUGUCUGUACUUCUUUAUAUUGCUUAUCGUAAGUGUCAUGAGGACAGGGGUUUGCAUCUGGUUGUCCAUGGCUGUGUCCCCAGCCUAGAACAGUUCCUGCCCAAGUUUAUGCAGGUGCUGAAGAAAAAUGGGACAAGUUAGUGAAUGAACAUGAGCGGGAAAAUUCCAUGUCUGUUCUGUGAAAUAAAUGAUAACUUCCUCCCUCAGGCAUCUUGGUGUUCAGAGCUCACAGAAUCAUCAAGUCCUGUCAAGAAGCAUUCAUCUUGCGCCUGUUCUGCCAGAAAAAUAAAACGUGGCUUCAUUAAAGCUUUCACAGACAAUGCUGUCGCCUUUGACACUGGUUUUUGUCAUGUGGAAAGAAUGAUGAGAAAUCUCUUCGUAAGGAAGUUGUAUCUGUGGCCAAGCUAAACAGCAUUAUGUGACAGACAUCUGUGAGCACAUCUGCUGUUCCAUGUAGCAGUAAACUCAUUUUUAGAACAGCACAAACCUGAAGUCCUAGAAAUUCAUGUCUCUAUGACACCAGCCAUGCUUGCUAUACAGACUGCCAUACUGGACAUCUUAAAUGCAUGUUUGAAGGAACUGAAGUGCUGUAACUUGUCACUUGACGUUGAAUAUUUAUCUUUAGAAAACACUAUUGGAAAAUCCUUUGACAAGAUAUUCUGUUUCUUUUCCCUUUUAAGCAUAGCUUGUCCUGUUAAAACCGUAGAGAAUGCAAGUUAAUUUAGUAUUGCCAUGUUCUUAAUAGGAAUUUGCUGUUAUUUUAAAAUUAAAUUGGAAGUGAUUUAAAGUAUAGCUUCUUUGGUUUAGUGGAAAGUAAUUUAUAGUGACAUACAUGGAUUGGCAUAUCCGCAUGACUCUAAUUUUUGCAGUUAUACAGUGAUUAUCUCUCAUUUUACGUAUAAUGAAGAAAAAGAUAAAUACCUUUUUGCUCUGAAGCAACCUUUGGAUAUCUUCAGGUAGAAGAGUUUUACAUAAGUGCAUUUGUAAUUUAUGAUCUCUUGUUUCGAGUAAAAAUAAUUUGGAUGAGUUUUCACUAUUGAGGAAUGUGAAACUUGCUCUGUCCUAAAAGUACAUUCCGAACUGAGAAAAUGGUAAGACUUUAGUUCAAGGAAUUUUUAUUCUGAUUUUUUUCAUCAUAGAUUAAUAUUAAUACAGACACAUAAAUGUCUAAGAUUGAAUUAUAGAUCCUGAAAAUGCUGACUUUUUAAAAAUUCCAGGCAACUUACUUUAGAUAUUUUGGUAGAACAGGUUCCUGCCUUUUUAAACUCUGAAUCGACCCUUUGUGGCUGGAAGAGGAAAAAUGUAACUCCUCAUUUCUCUGAUUCAUCCAAAAAUUAUUUUACUGUGGAAUAAUGAUACAUAAGACUAAUUUCAUGUGUUUUGUUCCUCUACUCUUAAAGCUUAGGGCAUAGUGAAACCAAAAAAAACCUCCACAUCUUCACAUUCUUUUAAUAGACUGUAUAUUCCUAGAAAAACAAAAUGUAGCCUAGUAUGUUUUGCACUAAAUUUCUGUUUAUCAUCCCCUGGCUAGUAAAAAUCAAAGUUACUUUUAGUAACCAAAUCUACAUACAACUUGGGUCUUGUUAGAAAAUUUCAUUUUUGUAGAUGAUUUUAUAAAACAAGCAUGCAAAUAUAUGUCCCAGUAUAUCUAAGACAGCCUUGGUAUCUGCCUAUUGUCCUGGAGUAAUCAUUAGUAGUAGCAUUUCAUUUUCACAAGAGUUGUGUUUUGAGCAAUAAAUCUUCUAAGUAUUAUUCCUGCUCAGUAUUAAAUUUGUUAGAUAAGAUGCCAUGUAGUGAUACUGCUUCCCUAUCAUGUUGUGUAUCAUCUUUUUAAAUUACAGAAUCAGUUUACGAAGGACAGGAAGUGUGUGUGUGUGUGUGUGUGUGUGUGUGUGUGUGUGUGUGUUUGUACACCCACAUAACCCACAUAGUAUAUACAAAAAGCUGUUCUGUGUUUUAGGCAACUUUUUAGGAUCUUAAAAGUUAUUCAAACUUAGCCCACUGUUAAUUUAACAAAUAUCUUCCCAUCCAUGAAGCACAGUGGUAAAAAAAUUAACAAAUAUUUUAUGCCACCAAAUUAAGAUACAUUGUUGUUUAAUUUGAUACCACAUUGUUUCCCUGGUUUAUGCCUUCAGCUUCAUCAUCUCUCUGACUGGAUCCCACAUCUUUAUCUAUCCAGGAUAAGAUCUCAGCCCACCUUGGCAGAAAUUGAGUGUUUCUGAGCUACCUGCUUUGACUUUUCAUAAAAACAAACAAUUGAUUAUCUGAUUCUUAUCAGGUCUUUUCUCUCCUGACCAAUAAAGUAAAUGUAGAUAAUUAUGAAUUGACUAUCUGAUCAUAAAGACUUUAGUGAUAAGAUACUCUGUUUCAUUUUUGAAAAAUUAAACAUAUAAUUAGAAUCUUAGGAACUGAAAUUUUCUGUCCACCUCCUUGGGAGAUAAUGUUUUGGAUUUUUUGUAUGUGUGUGACAAAAUAUAUGUGAACAUAAAAUUUACUAUUUUAACCAUUUUUCGGUACACAGGGAUAAUGUUUUUUGAGACUAUAGUGUUAAUAAUAGCUAUGUAGAACAUAUUUUUAGCAAUAUUAAAUUUUACCCUUAUUUUAGACAAUCCACCAUUAUCUGGAUCCUUUGUGGCACCAGCUUGGAGCCAAGACUAAAUCCUUGGUUCAGGAUUUGAAGAUACUACGAACUUUGCUGCAGUAUCUUUCUCAGUAUGAUUGUAUCACAUUUCUUAAACUUCUGGAAUCUCUGAGAGCAGCAGAAAAGGCUUUUGGUCAGAAUUCAGGUUGACUGUUUCUGGACUCCUGCACCUCGAUGUUUCUAAAUGAUCGAGCAAGGGUUUAUCAUGUUCCAGAUGCCAAAAUGAGCAGGAAAGGAAAAAUGUCUGAAAAAAUGGAGUUUAAAGAAGGGCAGGGUAUGUCAUAGGCUUAAGUCUUUAAAUGUGUCUUUUAUUUCAGUGAUUGGUUGGAAGUACUUAACAAGUUAAUGUGUGAUUUUAAGUCUCCUUCAGCCAUCAGAAAAUGUAUGCCGGUAUGAUAAAUGUAUGUUGUAUGUAAUUCUGUUAAAAGUAUUAACAUGACAAGUCUUAGAAUCUGUUGCUGGGGAUUCUGGAUAACAAAGGCCAAGUAUCAAUCAAGAACAUUCUUACUUCUACUUAAGAACUAGAUUGAUUUUUUGUAACUUUAGACUAAUAAUUGCCACUUCUGUCACUUAAAGUCUUAAUGGAAUAUUUUAACAUCCCUCUGGGCUUUUAAAAGACAUAAAUAUACUAGAAUGAGACAAAUAUGGAUUUUAUUCCGACACUCAUCUAGUAGAUAUAAUGAAUAUUGUUUUUUUAAGGUAUGGGAGAGGGCAAAUGCUUACUUUCUGCUUAGUUCAAAGGUCUAGUUCAAAAGUUAAAUAUUUUAGGGAUGUGUUUGAGUACUUUACUAACAGAAAUAAAAGUUUGUUGUCUACUUCUAUUGCAUGUUCAGGGUUGUGAAAAUCAUGAUGAUUAUAGAAAUAAUCAAUGCUAUUAUUCUGUUCUGGUUCCUUUAUCUGUAUGGCAGCUUAUACAUAGUGUCACAGUUGACAGUUAACACAGAAUAAUCUAGUAUUAGUAACCAUGCAUAUAACUUUCUAUUGAGACAUUAUAAAGCUUGUAUUAAUGUUUGUUUGAAGCAUCUUUCCUUUAGACCAUAACUAGACAAUUUUCAGGAAAAUAGAUUGUCUAGCAUUAUGAAGGCCCCACAAAGGAAAGGGAUAAGAGAAUGAUGCUUGAGUUAUCUCUUGGACAGAGGAAACUUGACCCUGCCCUCCCAACUCCCUGCCUGCCUGUGCCUCACCUGAAAGCUGCCUGUGUCCUUGGAUCCCCACCCUCUGGAUAUAAAAUAGUUUGCCUCUAAACUUUUGUAGUUAAUUCUUGUAUUAAAUUCCUUUGACAUCUAAUGUGAGUUUUGUGUUCCUGGCUGCACCCUGACUAAUAUAAACACCUUUGCAAAAAAGCACAUCAAGGUUGACAUCACUAAAGGUGUGCCUAUGUUUCACUGUUUGAAUGUUCCAUGAAUGUUCUAACAUUUAUUUAAUCAUUUGGCUAUUGAUGAACAUUUAACUUCUUUCCAAGUUUUUUGCUACCACAAUUUGUGCUGUAAUGAAUAUAUCUGUAUAUAUAUGUAUUUCUAUAGGACAGAGUAAAAUUGCUAGGAGUAAUAUUGCUAGGUC